UACGUAGGGUGCAGGCGUUAAUCGGAAUUACUGGGCGUAAAGCGUGCGCAGGCGGUUUCUUAAGUCAGAUGUGAAAGCCCCGGGCUUAACCUGGGAACUGCGUUUGAAACUGCUGUGCUUGAGUGUGGGAGAGGCGCGUGGAAUUGCAGGUGUAGCGGUGAAAUGCGUAGAUAUCUGCAGGAACACCCGUGGCGAAAGCGGCUCACUGGCCCGAUACUGACGCUGAGGCACGAAAGCGUGGGGAGCAAACAGG
rnacentral:rRNA from 1 species